UACGGGGGGGGGCAAGCGUUGUUCGGAAUUACUGGGCGUAAAGGGCUCGUAGGCGGCCAACUAAGUCAGACGUGAAAUCCCUCGGCUUAACCGGGGAACUGCGUCUGAUACUGGAUGGCUUGAGAUUGGGAGAGGGAUGCGGAAUUCCAGGUGUAGCGGUGAAAUGCGUAGAUAUCUGGAGGAACACCGGUGGCGAAGGCGGGUCUCUGGGCCGAUACUGACGCUGAGGAGCGAAAGCGCGGGGAGCGAACAGG
rnacentral:rRNA from 1 species